AAUCAGGAGAGAAUCCAACUUGAGACUUCACGUUUAUAUAAGCAGGCAGGGGUCAAUCCUCUUGCAGGAUGUUUCCCAACUUUGGCUACUAUACCUGUUUGGAUUGGUCUUUAUCAAGCUCUCUCCAAUGUGGCAAAUGAGGGAUUGCUGACUGAAGGUUUUUUUUGGAUCCCUUCUUUGGGAGGCCCGACAACUAUAGCUGCUCGACAGAGUGGAUCUGGAGUUUCUUGGCUAUUCCCAUUUGUGGAUGGGCAUCCGCCUUUGGGUUGGCAUGACACGGUGGCUUACCUCAUUUUGCCUGUCCUGCUUAUUGUUUCACAAUAUGUUUCAAUGGAGAUAAUGAAACCUCCCCAAACAGAUGAUCCGUCUCAAAAGAACACACUUCUGGUUUUCAAGUUCCUUCCGCUCAUGAUUGGCUAUUUCUCUUUGUCUGUUCCAUCAGGGUUAACAAUUUACUGGUUCACAAAUAAUGUGCUGACCACAGCACAGCAGGUAUGGUUGCGCAAGUUAGGUGGUGCAAAGCCUGCUGUGAGUGGAGAUGCCGGUGGUAUCAUCAGUGCUGGACGUGCGAAGAGAACUACCUCUCAACCUGAACAAUCCGGAGAGAGAUUCAGGCAGCUAAAGGAAGAUGAAAAGAAGAAAAAGUCAACCAAGGCACUCCCUACAGAUAAGGUUGAACUUUCUGCUUCUAUAUCUGAUUCCGAGGACGAACAAGAUGAUGACACCAAGCCCAAGGAUGAAGAAGUACUGGAAGAGGCUUAUGCUUCUAGCAGUAGUAAAGAAGUUCCAAAUUACUCAGGGCCAAGGAAGAGUAAGAGAUCAAAAAGGAAGCGUGCUGUAUAAAGUGGUAAAUCAAUCCUUUAGCUUGUAUAUUCAAAUCUGUAUUUUAGUUAGUGUAUAGUGGCCAUUUUCAUGCCGGUCAUCUAUUUAAUGGCUAUCUGCCAAAUGACGAGAACCUGAUAAGUAUGCAAAAGUGAAUUCACGAGCUUUCAAGUUUAAGCACCAGCUUAGCAAGCAAAAGCUAAAUUUAU
rnacentral:misc_RNA from 1 species